rnacentral:rRNA from 1 species
ACGGGUGAGUAACGCGUAGGAAUCUGCCUUGAAGCGGGGGAUAACCCGAGGAAACUCGGGCUAAUACCGCAUAAUAUCGAGAGAUUAAAGCUAGGGCAACCUGGCACUUCAAGAGGAGCCUGCGUACGAUUAGCUAGUUGGUAGGGUAAAGGCCUACCAAGGCGAUGAUCGUUAACUGGUCUGAGAGGAUGAUCAGUCACACUGGAACUGAGACACGGUCCAGACUCCUACGGGAGGCAGCAGUGGGGAAUAUUGGACAAUGGGGGCAACCCUGAUCCAGCAAUGCCGCGUGUGUGAAGAAGGCCUUAGGGUUGUAAAGCACUUUUGGCAGGGAGGAAGGUAUGCAGUUUAAGAGACAGCAUAUUUGACUGUACCUGCAGAAUAAGCACCGGCUAACUCUGUGCCAGCAGCCGCGGUAAUACAGAGGGUGCAAGCGUUAAUCGGAGUUACUGGGCGUAAAGGGCGCGUAGGUGGUUAUAUAAGUGAGAUGUGAAAUCCCUGGGCUUAACCUAGGAACUGCAUCUCAUACUGUAUGACUGGAGUAUUGUAGAGGGUAGUGGAAUUUCCGGUGUAGCG